AGUGGGAUAGCUGGGUCAAAUGGUGGUUCCAUGCCCAGCUUUCCAAGGAAUCUUCAUACUGCUUUCUAUGUUGGCUGUACCAAUUUGUAGUCCCACCAGCAAU
rnacentral:pre_miRNA from 1 species